UACCAGAGAGUCCUUUAUUGAAUAAAUAAC
rnacentral:piRNA from 1 species